CAGUUGCACCGGCACGACCGGAUUCACCUUCGCCGGAUCGCCGCCGCGUUCGGCGAUCGCGUCGCGCAGGCCCGCGAGAUCGACGAGCGCGGUCUGGCCGAGGAUGUCGUGGCAGACGACGCGCGCCGGGAACCACGGGAAAUCGCGCUCGCGCUUGCGCUCGACGAGCUGCGUCAGCGAAUCGGCGAGGAUCGCCGGAUCGCAGCGGCGCACGAGGUUCUCGGCGAGCACGCGCGACGUGUACGGCAACGCGUCGUACGCGCCCGGGCGGAUCGCGUCGACGGCGGCGCGCGCGUCGAAGUAGUCGAGCGACGUGCCGGGCAGGGGUUUGCGGUUGGCAGUGUUCAUUGCGUGGGGACAGACUGGGUAACGAUCGUCGCGAAACGGCCGGGCGCGACGCCCGGCCGCCGGGUGCCGCCGAUCAGCGCUUCUCGAUCGGCACGAACUUCAGGUCUUCCGGCCCGGUGUAGUUCGCGCUCGGGCGGAUGAUCUUGUUGUCGACCCGCUGCUCGAUGAUGUGCGCGCUCCAGCCGGCGGUGCGCGCGAUCACGAACAGCGGCGUGAACAUCGCGGUCGGCACGCCCAUCAUGUGAUACGACACCGCGCUGAACCAGUCGAGGUUCGGGAACAUCUUCUUGAUCUCCCACAUCACCGAUUCGAGCCGCUCGGCGAUGUUGAAGAGCUUCAGGUCGCCCGCUUCCUUCGACAGCUUGCGCGCGACUUCCUUGAUCACCUUGUUGCGCGGAUCGGAGAUCGUGUACACCGGGUGGCCGAAGCCGAUCACGACUUCCUUGUUCUCGACGCGGCGGCGGAUGUCGGCCUGCGCUUCGUCGGGCGUGCGGUAGCGGUUCUGGAUCUCGUAGGCGACCUCGUUCGCGCCGCCGUGCUUCGGCCCGCGCAGCGCGCCGAUCGCGCCCGUGAUCGACGAAUACAUGUCCGAGCCCGUGCCGGCGAUCACGCGCGCGGUGAACGUCGAGGCAUUGAACUCGUGCUCCGCGUACAGGAUCAGCGACGUGUGCAUCGCGUCGAUCCACGAUUUCGACGGCGUCUUGCCGUGCAGCAGGUGCAGGAAAUGCCCGCCGAUCGAAUCGUCGUCGGUUUCGGUUUCGAUGCGCCGGCCGUUGUGCGAAUAGUGAUACCAGUACAGCAGCAUCGAGCCGAGCGAGGCCAUCAGCCGGUCCGCGAUGUCGCGCGCGCCCGGCAGGUUGUGGUCGUCCUUCUCGGGCAGCACGGUGCCGAGCACCGAUACGCCGGUGCGCAUCACGUCCAUCGGGUGCGCGGACGCCGGAAUCCAUUCGAGCGCCGCCUUCACGUUCGCGGGCAGCCCGCGCAUCGCGCGCAGCUUCGCCUUGUACGCGGCCAGCUCGGUCACGUUCGGCAGCGUCUCGUGCACGAGCAGGUGCGCGAUUUCCUCGAAUUCGCUCGAGCCGGCGAUAUCGA
rnacentral:rRNA from 2 species